UUCCAUGCCCCUAGCCAAGAUCUAGUUUCCCACUGACAGUAAUCAUAGUGUGAGCUGGUCAUGAAGUCAUAUGUUUGUUUGCCUUUUUGUUUAGAGUAGGAAUGGGACUGAAAGAAAGACCUGUUCAAAACUGAGAGAUUGACUCAAAUUUGACUUACAUUUUAUUACAAAUGUGUUCAGUGCUUUUCUCCUGAAUUUGAAAUCUGAUAAGUGCAAAUCAGUGAAAAACAAACAAAUGAAAAUGGUGGUGCCUGACUCAUUAUGAGAACUAUCCCAGUCCUUUCAUUCUCGAAGUUUCUCUUCCCUGUUUUCCUUGUCCUAAGUCCAGUCCACAGGGAUGGCUCCGAAUUCACAUCUCUCACUGAAGCCUUUGGUUCUGAAAGGAUUGAAUUUUUUUCCAACCCCUUGCUACUUAGCGGUGGCUUUUUAAUUUGUGUUGGGUUUUCAUUAAAGAUUGAUCUGACUCUGUGGAUUUCUAAUGUCCUUUUAUUUGGUAAGUCAAUCCUAGCCUGGCAGUAUCACUUAACACAAAAUGUUAAUUAAAAAAAAAAAGGCUUCGCUGAAACUGACUUUCAAAACUCAGCUCUCUAGUUCCAGAAGAGAAAGAAAAAAAAAAAUCCAAAAAAUAAAAAUAAAAAAGAAGAUGGUGGAGUGAGAUGCAAGACCCUCCCUCCAGGCUGUGAAAGAUCCGAGGAGAGGAGAGGCGUGGCCAGAGGAGGAAGAGAAUGAAAGGGCAAAAAUCUUUAAUGCUAUCUUUUUUUCUACAAUAGCUUUGGGGUUACUUUCUUGGGUCUUUUAGAAAAGCCACGUAAGCAAGAGGAUAGUCUGGCUGGUGAAAAAGAAAAGAGAUGUUACAAUAGUACAUUCAGGCUCCAUUUUAAUCUUCCAGGGUGGACGAAAUUGCUUAACUGGCCUCUUGAAUAUUCUGAUUGGCUAGGUAUAUGACCUUCCCAGCCAAUCAGGUGGAGCCUCUCUGGGGCCACUGCAGAUGACUUGGAAACAGAUGCUCUUGAUUGGCAAGGUUCCUACCGCCGAAUAUCUCUUUCUUUCUUUCUUUCUUUCUUUCUUUCUUUCUUUCUUUCUUUCUUUCUUUCUUUUCUUUGUGACUGCGAUUCAAACUCAGCCCUCUUGGCUCAUUUAUGAGGGAAGCUUUGCCAUAAAAGAUGAAUUGCAAAGUAAUAGCUGAGGGGAGCCAUAACAGUCAAUGCAGUUACCCUUUGGUACAUUUUUGGGCUAAUGAUAUUUAAAUCAAUGUGACUGAAAAAGAAAAAUAAAGGUCAAACCAAAUACCAAAGAAUGAAUAGCCUACUGCAAGAUUACUAGACUCAUAAACAGUUCCUUGUUCUCUAAGAUUGCUCUGAGAACCAUGUCAAUACACCAGUCUCGUGGUAAUUAAAGAAUUUAAAAAGCCAAUACUUAUUUUGUCAAGGGCACUAAUGCAAGUUCAACUUGGUCUAUGAACAAAUUAACACAAAGUUCUGAUUGUGUGCAAACUGGGGCAGUUAGCAAUUAUUCUUAGUAUUUCUAUAACAAACUUUCUUCUGAAAAACUCAAAAUGCUAGAGAAUCAUAAAACUUCGAAGGCAUCUG
rnacentral:lncRNA from 10 species